UCCUUGCCUUAUGCAUGUAUUGUAGGUAA
rnacentral:piRNA from 1 species